UGCAGUCGAACGGCAGCACGGGAGCAAUCCUGGUGGCGAGUGGCGAACGGGUGAGUAAUAUAUCGGAACGUGCCCAGUCGUGGGGGAUAACGCAGCGAAAGCUGUGCUAAUACCGCAUACGAUCUGUGGAUGAAAGCGGGGGAUCGCAAGACCUCGCGCGAUUGGAGCGGCCGAUAUCAGAUUAGCUAGUUGGUGGGGUAAAAGCCCACCAAGGCGACGAUCUGUAGCUGGUCUGAGAGGACGACCAGCCACACUGGAACUGAGACACGGUCCAGACUCCUACGGGAGGCAGCAGUGGGGAAUUUUGGACAAUGGGCGCAAGCCUGAUCCAGCAAUGCCGCGUGCAGGAUGAAGGCCUUCGGGUUGUAAACUGCUUUUGUACGGAGCGAAAAGGCUUCUCCUAAUACGAGGGGCUCAUGACGGUACCGUAAGAAUAAGCACCGGCUAACUACGUGCCAGCAGCCGCGGUAAUACGUAGGGUGCGAGCGUUAAUCGGAAUUACUGGGCGUAAAGCGUGCGCAGGCGGUUUUGUAAGACAGAUGUGAAAUCCCCGGGCUCAACCUGGGACCUGCAUUUGUGACUGCAAGGCUAGAGUACGGUAGAGGGGGAUGGAAUUCCGCGUGUAGCAGUGAAAUGCGUAGAUAUGCGGAGGAACACCGAUGGCGAAGGCAAUCCCCUGGACCUGUACUGACGCUCAUGCACGAAAGCGUGGGGAGCAAACAGGAUUAGAUACCCUGGUAGUCCACGCCCUAAACGAUGUCAACUGGUUGUUGGGUCUUUACUGACUCAGUAACGAAGCUAACGCGUGAA
rnacentral:rRNA from 1 species